AUUGAACGCUGGCGGCAGGCCUAACACAUGCAAGUCGAACGAGUGGCGGACGGGUGAGUCAUGUCUGGGACACUGCCUGAUGGAGGGGGAUAACUACUGGAAACGGUAGCUAAUACCGCAUACCAUCGGAUGUGCCCAGAUGGGAUUGGCUAGUGGGGGGGGUAAAGGCUCACAUAGGCGACGACCCCUAGCUGGUCUGAGAGGAUGACGGGCAACACUGGAACUGAGACACGGUCCAGACUCCUACGGGAGGCAGCAGUGGGGAAUAUUGCAAAAGGGGCGCAAGCCUGAUGCAGCCAUGCCGCGUGGAUGAAGAAGGCCUUCGGGUGGUAAAGUACGUUCAGCGGGGAGGCGUUACCCGCAGAGGAAGCACCGGCUAACUCCGUGCCAGCAGCCGCGGUAAUUC
rnacentral:rRNA from 1 species